GUGGUGUGGAUGUUUAUUGGGCCUAAAGCAUCCGUAGCUGGCUAGGUCAGUCCCUUGUUAAAUCCACCGAAUUAAUCGUUGGAUUGCGGGGGAUACUGCUUGGCUAGGGGACGAGAGAGGCAGACGGUAUUUUCGGGGUAGGGGUGAAAUCCUAUAAUCCCGGGAAGACCACCAGUGGCGAAGGCUGUCGGCUAGA
rnacentral:rRNA from 1 species